UUCUUAUAAGUUCUUGCGUACUUGAGUGAGAAAGUGUAGCCAUGUACAGCUCUAUGGUGAUUAAUUAUAGUUUAUUAUUUCCAUUUCAAUGACAAAAAGAAAGGGCUAGUUUCCAGCCUCCAGGCACCCAGCAUGCUGGUUAGGAGAAGUUGAAACAAACUUGAAAGGGAAUGACAUACAAGGACAUGUAGUCGAACAUUGCGAUCGUCGCCGCGGCAGAGCAGCGCGCCCACCUCGAACAUCUUGACGGCGUUGUGGACGGUGGCGCAUCGGUCGAACUCGUCGAGGCGCCAGGAGCCCCUGCGGGCGCCCUUGCGGCGGUACUCGGACGAAGAGGAGGCGGCGCAGGCGAGCUCCGGAACACCGUGUCGCGGUUCUCCCGCGCCGUCUCGCACUCCGGGUGCCUCAGGCAGGCCUGCGGACAGCCGGGACACACCCGUCACCCCUCCCUGCGCCACACCGUCCGCAGUGGCGCCGGGAAGCGCGCGCGAUCGCGUCGCGGGAAAGGCAAGAGCCACCGGGCGAUCUGGCUCUCGUCGUCCGGCCAGAUGAACUUCCUUGUAUGGUUUGGCCUUUGCUGCGCGAAGCAGCAGCAAGCUCUUUGCUAAGGCCCGUUCACGUUUUGCCACUACAACUGCACGGGUGGCGCCUGCUGGCGCCGCCCCGCACCUGCUUGUGCACUGUUGGAAAAAUAGGGCCGUCAUAAAUGUUUUUCACGCAUC
rnacentral:lncRNA from 1 species